AGUCGACGGUGAAGCCCAGCUUGCUGGGUGGAUCAGUGGCGAACGGGUGAGUAACACGUGAGCAACCUGCCCCUGACUCUGGGAUAAGCCUUGGAAACGAGGUCUAAUACCGGAUAUGACGUCCCCAUGCAUGUGGGGGUGUGGAAAGAAUUUCGGUCAGGGAUGGGCUCGCGGCCUAUCAGCUUGUUGGUGGGGUGAUGGCCUACCAAGGCGACGACGGGUAGCCGGCCUGAGAGGGCGACCGGCCACACUGGGACUGAGACACGGCCCAGACUCCUACGGGAGGCAGCAGUGGGGAAUAUUGCACAAUGGGCGCAAGCCUGAUGCAGCGACGCCGCGUGAGGGAUGACGGCCUUCGGGUUGUAAACCUCUUUCAGCAGGGAAGAAGCGAAAGUGACGGUACCUGCAGAAGAAGCGCCGGCUAACUACGUGCCAGCAGCCGCGGUGAUACGUAGGGCGCAAGCGUUGUCCGGAAUUAUUGGGCGUAAAGAGCUCGUAGGCGGUCAGUCGCGUCUGCUGUGAAAACUCGAGGCUCAACCUCGGGCUUGCAGUGGGUACGGGCUGACUAGAGUGCGGUAGGGGUGACUGGAAUUCCUGGUGUAGCGGUGGAAUGCGCAGAUAUCAGGAGGAACACCGAUGGCGAAGGCAGGUCACUGGGCCGCAACUGACGCUGAGGAGCGAAAGCAUGGGGAGCGAAC
rnacentral:rRNA from 1 species